rnacentral:misc_RNA from 1 species
GAUGAAGAACGUAGUGAAAUGCGAUAAGUAAUGUGAAUUGCAGAAUUCAGUGAAUCAUCGAAUCUUUGAACUCACAUUGCGCCCAUUAGUAUUCUAGUGGGCAUGCCUGUUCGAGCGUCAUUUCAACCCUUAAGCCUAGCUUAGUGUUGGGAAUCUGCUGUAUUGCAGUUCCUCAAAUACAACGGCGGAUCUGUAACAUCCUCUGAGCGUAGUAAAUUUUUAUCUCGCUUUUGUUAGGUGUUGCAGCUCUCAGCCGCUAAACCCCCCAAUUUUUGUGGUUGACCUCGGAUCAGGUAGGAAUACCCGCUGAACUUAAGCAUAUCAAUAAGCGGAGGA